GUUGCCCUGUGUGUUGUGCCUUGGGCUCCACCGUGGGGAGAAAGCGGGUUAGCUUGGCAACUGCACCAUGUAGUGAAGAGGACUUGGAGCAGUUGAAAACAAUCAUCCCAAGUUGGUUGAGCAAUGCCUUCUCAAUCCCAGGCUUGCACCACACUGUCAAGUUGAUAAUUGACUUGAAUACUUACUCCUUCCUCUGCUGUCCAGUGCUGGGAAGACAGUUCUGCAGCUC